GUCAGCUCAGCUUCUGCGCUGCAAGAGUCCUGAGUGCGGAGUGGCCCAGGGCGGCGUGUGUGGAGUGGCCCAGGGCGGCGUGUGUGGGGCGCCAGGUCUUCAGUCUGUAGGUUCUAGUCCGUCUCUGAUGACUAUCUUUGUUACACCUCUGAAGAGGGCACGUCCUCUCGAACUCUAUUAUGGCUGCUUCCUUCCAGGCCAAAUGCUUAGAAUUCCAUUCAUUGCGGGCCUCACAGCAGAAGCAACAGGGGUUUGCUGAGCUACUCAAGCAGACAAGAAUCUCCUGUUUGAGGUUCCUCAGAAGUUUCCUUAGUAACUGACAGUUCUCCAGUGAAUGCCAGACCCCAGGUGACAGACCGCUGUCUCUGCCACAGAAGCACUUUUUCUCUCUCUUGACUGCC
rnacentral:lncRNA from 1 species